AACGAACGCUGGCGGCAGGCCUAACACAUGCAAGUCGAACGCCCUAGCAAUAGGGAGUGGCAGACGGGUGAGUAACACGUGGGAACCUUCCCUAUAGUACGGAAUAUACCAGGGAAACUUGGAGCAAUACCGUAUACGCCCGAGAGGGGAAAGAUUUAUCGCUAUAGGAUGGGCCCGCGUAGGAUUAGCUAGUUGGUGAGGUAAUGGCUCACCAAGGCGACGAUCCUUAGCUGGUUUGAGAGAACGACCAGCCACACUGGGACUGAGACACGGCCCAGACUCCUACGGGAGGCAGCAGUGGGGAAUAUUGGACAAUGGGCGCAAGCCUGAUCCAGCCAUGCCGCGUGAGUGAUGAAGGCCUUAGGGUUGUAAAGCUCUUUUGCCGGGGACGAUAAUGACGGUACCCGGAGAAUAAGUCCCGGCUAACUUCGUGCCAGCCGCCG
rnacentral:rRNA from 1 species